AGCGAACGCUGGCGGCAGGCCUAACACAUGCAAGUCGAACGAACAGACGAGGAGCUUGCUCCUCUGACGUUAGCGGCGGACGGGUGAGUAACACGUGGAUAACCUACCUAUAAGACUGGGAUAACUUCGGGAAACCGGAGCUAAUACCGGAUAACAUGUUGAACCGCAUGGUUCAACAGUGAAAGACGGUCUUGCUGUCACUUAUAGAUGGAUCCGCGCCGCAUUAGCUAGUUGGUAAGGUAACGGCUUACCAAGGCAACGAUGCGUAGCCGACCUGAGAGGGUGAUCGGCCACACUGGAACUGAGACACGGUCCAGACUCCUACGGGAGGCAGCAGUAGGGAAUCUUCCGCAAUGGGCGAAAGCCUGACGGAGCAACGCCGCGUGAGUGAAGAAGGUCUUCGGAUCGUAAAACUCUGUUAUUAGGGAAGAACAAAUGUGUAAGUAACUAUGCACGUCUUGACGGUACCUAAUCAGAAAGCCACGGCUAACUACGUG
rnacentral:rRNA from 1 species